CGCGGAGUGGAGCAGUCUGGUAGCUCGUCGGGCUCAUAACCCGAAGGUCGCAGGUUCAAAUCCUGCCUCCGCAA
rnacentral:tRNA from 1 species